rnacentral:snoRNA from 1 species
UACCCACUUUUCCUUUUGCCAGUUGGACACAUGUUUUAUUGGUUUUUCAAGUGGGGCGAAGGAAACAUCCCUUUAAAACACAGGCAUACUGAGUGUUUGUCUUGUAUCCUGUCAGAAGAAACAAAU